rnacentral:misc_RNA from 1 species
GUCGGUGGGGUAACCUUUUAGGAGCCAGCCGCCUAAGGUGGGACAGAUGAUUAGGGUGAAGUCGUAACAAGGUAGCCGUAGGAGAACCUGCGGCUGGAUCACCUCCUUUCUAAGGAAUUAAUCGGAAACCUACACAUUGUCGAAACUUUGUUUAGUUUUGAGA